UAUCCAUGUUGUGGACACUUCCUAAGGAAAUCCUUGUACCUUUCCCAUCAUUCAAAUAAUUGUUCAUCCAUUUAUUGAAAAAAAGAAACAAUUUUAGACCUCAAUUA